GGUUUGUAGCUCAGUGGUAGAUCUCUUGCCUUGCAUGCGAUAGGCUUUGGGUUUGAAACUCAGCACCA
rnacentral:tRNA from 1 species